GUCGGAGCAUUGCCAGCAGAUCGAGGGAAGUGAUUAUUCCCCUCUAUUCAGCACUGGUGAGGCCACACCUGGAGUAUUGCAUCCAGUUUUAGUCCCCCCACUACAGAAGGGAUGUGGACGUAUUGGACAGAGUCCAGCAGAGCGCAAGGAAA